AGCGCAGGCGGGAAGACAAGUUGGAAGUGAAAACCAUGGGCUCAACCCAUGAAUUGCUUUCAAAACUGUUUUUCUUGAGUAGUGCAGAGGUAGAUGGAAUUCCCGGUGUAGCGGUGGAAUGCGUAGAUAUCGGGAGGAACACCAGUGGCGAAGGCGGUCUACUGGGCACCAACUGACGCUGAGGCCCGAAAGCAUGGGUAGCAAACA
rnacentral:rRNA from 1 species